rnacentral:tRNA from 2 species
GCCCGGAUGGCGGAAUUGGCAGACGCGGCGGACUCAAAAUCCGCAGUUGGAAAACCAGCGUGUGGGUUCGACCCCCACUCCGGGCACCA